GUACGUACACAUGAUGGACAAACCAGGGUCAAGUUGAAUGGAGCGUCUCAGCAUGCACACCUUCCGUUUCAUUGAACACAAGAACAUGACCGUCGCCACUUUCUAUCUGCACUGUCACCCGACUCUGUGAGGUGUCCUCCUGUUCGUCCUUAGUCUUCCAACAGCUUCACAAUUCUCCUCCCAGUCCCAGAGAAGCCCAAUGGGCCGUAUGGACGUCACAACUUCGGUGCUGGUUGUGAUCUGUCUCUCCAUGGCCCUGUUCAUUGGUCUGUUCCUGAGGAGGGGAAGGUUAUCCAUCCUCCAAUUAAAUAUGGUCUAGGACUAGGGACACCGUCUCUCCUGACAUGGCUGAAGACUGGGACCAGUCUCCUAGCUAACAGUCAGUGGGGUAUUUUACAUUCCUAGAACAUGUAGACAGCUGUUGUGAAUACAUGAUACAGUGGCAGGUUAUGAGUAAAAUUAGUAAAGGAUGGUAGUUCUGAAUCCAUGAGUAAAGGAUGAUUAGUUCUCAGUUCAUAAGUAAAGGAUGGUUAGUUCUCAAUCCAUGAGUAAAGGAUGGUUAUUUCUCAGUUCAUAAGUAAAGGAUGGUUCAUUCUUGGUAACAGGAGUAAAUAAUGGUUAGUUAUCAGUUCAUGAGUAAAGGAUGGUUAGUUCUUAGUAACAUGAGGAAAGGAUGGUUAGUUACCAGUUCAUGAGGAAAGGAUGGUUAGUUCUCAGUUCAUGAGUAAAGGAUGGUUAGUUCUCAGUUCAUGAGUAAAGGAUGAUUAGUUCUUGGUAACAUGAGUAAAGG